GGAAUUAUUGACAAUGUGGGAAACCCUGAUCAUGCAACGCCGCGUGGAUGAUGAAGUACCUCGGUACGUUAAAUCCUUUCGACAGGGAAGAAAUUCUUCGGAGCUGACGGUACCUGUAGAAGAAGCCCCGGCUAACUCCGCGCCAGCCGCCGCGGUAAUACGGGGGGGGCAAGCGUUGUUCGGAUUUACUGGGCGUAGAGGGCGCGUAGGCGGUGUGCUAAGUCGGAUGUGAAAACUGGGGGCUCAACCCUCAGCCUGCAUCCGAUACUGGCAGACUAGAGUGCGAGAGGGGAAGGCGGAAUUCCUGGUGUAGCGGUGAAAUGCGUAGAUAUCAGGAGGAACACCGGUGGCGAAGGCGGCCUUCUGGAUCGCAACUGACGCUGAGGCGCGAAAGCUAGGGGAGCAAA
rnacentral:rRNA from 1 species